GGGGCCUGUGCUUCCAGCGGGUGGUGGGGGGCCUGGUGUGCUGGCAUCAAGUAAGCCGACUACCUCGGCAAAGGCUUAGGGACAAGAGACCAGCAGCCUGAACUGGCUGGGGCAUCCGGAAGGCUUAGAUCUUGUGGCCAAGAGUUCAGACCGUGGCGAAGUGGAGAGUGACAUGCAGUUGGAUGGCGGUGACUGCGUGGUAUGGAAGAAAAUUCAGCUGAAAUUUGCUAGAAAAUGAGUUGUUUUGGAAAGAGACUGUAGAGAAAGGCAAAUGGAAGAAGAAAGCUUCUGUGCCCCCACAGAUACCGACUGAAAAGUGUUAGCAUGAGCAAAAGUUCCUAUCUAAUAUUAUAUGCUUUCCUUUGCUCCCAGGUCCUGCAACCCUGGUUCCAGUCUGGCAAGCAUUGUAGACCUGGCUGCUGAAGACUGACGGGGCCCAGGGUCCGCUGCCCCCACCGCCAUCACCACCUCGGAACCCAGGGUAACGCUGUCAGUCUUUGAUGAUGUCAGAAGUGGGAUCCAAAGUAGAGCUUAUAAUGACACCUAGGAGUGCUGAGUGACCAAGCAAGGUACCCACCAGGCCGAUUAUGUCCAUUGUUCUCUUGGAGCAGCUGGUCAUCAUGGGAAAGGGUGCCACACUGGGAAUGCAAGCUGUCCUUGCUUCUGAACCAAGACUACUAUUGUGCCAGGAAGAGGGUGGGAAAAGACCUGCACCGAUGGCCUCAUGGGGAGAUCCCUAUGAUCAGUUGACAGAGGAAGACAAAAGACUAGGGCCUGUUUCACACAUUGUUCUGCAUGAUAUGCAGGCACUACCCUAAAGUGGACAACUGCAGCACUACAGCCCCUUUCUAGGACAUCCCUGAAGGACAGUGGUGAAGGGAAAUCUUCCCAGUGGGCAGAACUUCGAGUAGUGCACCUGGUUGUGCACUUUGCAUGGAAGGAGCGAUGGCCAGAUGUGCGAUUAUAGACUGAUUCAUGGGCCGUAGCCAGUGGUUUGGCUGGAUGGUCAGGGACUUGGAAGGAGAAUGAUUGGAAAAUGGGUGACAAAGAAAUUUGAGGAAGAGGCAUGUAAAUGGACCACUCUGAAUGGUCAAAAACGUUGAAGAUAUUUGUAUCCCAUGUGGCUACUCACUAACGGGUGACCUCAGCAGCGGAGGAUUUUAGUAAUAAAGUGGAUAGGAUGACCCGUUCUGUGGACACGACUCAGUCUCUUUCCCCAGCCACCCCUGCCAUAGCCCAAUGGGCCCAUGGAAAAAGUGGCCAUGGUGGCAGGGAUGGAGGUUACACAUGGGCUCAGCAACAUGCACUUCCACUCACCAAGGCUGACCUGGCUACAGCCACCACUGAGUACCCAAUUUGCCAGCAGCAGAGACCAACACUGAAACUUCUAUAUGGCAGCACCUCUCAGAGUGAUUAGCCAGCUACCUGGUGGCAGGUUGAUUAUAUUGGACUCUUCCAUUGUGGAAAGGGCAGAGGUUUGUCCUCACUGGAAUAGACACUUACUCCAGUUAUGGGUUUGCCUAUCCUGCAUGAAAUGCUUCUGCCAAGACUACCAUCUGUGGACUCACGGAAUGCCUUAUCCAUCGUCCUGGUACUCCACACAGCAUUGCCUCUGACCAAGACACUCACUUUAUGGCUAAAGAAGUGCAGCAGUGGGCUCCUCCUCAUGAAAUUCACUGGCCUUACCAUGUUCCCCAUCAUGAGAAUGGAUUGGUGGAAUGGUGGAAUGGCCUUUUGAAGUCACAAUUACAAUGCCAACUAGAUGACAAUACUUUCCAGGGCUGGGGCAAAGUUCUCCAGAAGGCUAUGUAUGCUCUGAAUAAGCGUCCAAUAUAUGGUACUGUUUCUCCCAUAGCCAGGAUUCACGGGUCCAAGAAUCAAGGGAUGGAAGUGGAAGUGGCACCACUCACCAUCAUUCCUAGUGAUCUACUAGCAAAAUUUUUGCUUCCUAUUCCUGUGACAUUACUUUCUGCUGGCCUAGAGGUCUUAGUUCCAGAGGGAGGAAGGCUGCCACCAGGAGACACAAUGAUUCCAUUAAACUGGAAGCCAAGAUUGCCACAUGGACACUUUGGGCUCCUCCUGCCUUUAAGUCAACAGGCCAAGAAGGGAGUUAAAGUGUUGACUGGGGUGAUUGACCGAGAUUAUCAAGAUGAAACCAGUCUACUAUUCCACAACAGAGUUCUUCAGUUUUGGGACUCCGACUGGCUCUCCUUGCUUCUUAGCUUCCAGAUGGCCUAUUGUGGGACCUUGUGAUCAUGUUUAGAAGUACAUGAACUGGUUUCCUAUAUAGAGCCAAUAAAACUUUUCUUUUGAGUGAUUUGCAGCUUUUAACAAACUGAACCUGCUUAUUUCUGUGAACCAACCAGUGAUCUCUUAUGGCUGUUCAAAAGUAACAAGAGAGAUAUCACCUUUUGUCAUAACUCAAGUCUUAUGAAUGGCCCUCACCAUAAUGAUGCUUUUUGACUGAGCUCUUCUCUAACCUGAAUGCAAGAGGUUAGGCAUGAAUAUCAUC
rnacentral:lncRNA from 1 species